rnacentral:lncRNA from 1 species
AAACACUCAUUUCAGAUUAUAUUAUUUUGUGAGAGUUAUUUAAAACAUUAAAUAAUCUAAUAAAAUAAAUGUGGUUUCAAUUUUUCUCCAAAUUGGAUCCCUAUGGGCACGCAAACCCUUUCUCAACCUCUCUAAACACUGUCGACCCUCGCAAUUCCAACAUCCAAUACUUGGCCAUUUCUUAGGCAUCUAUCAUCGACAUUCCUCAGCCGUCGGCCAUUCCUCAAGUUAGUCUUUCUUUUUUCUUUCGUCACUGGCAACCUUAGUUUUUUUUUUCUCCAUCCGUCUGCUUCUUUUUUGGAGUUUGGAAUGAGACCAAAAUGUCUUCGCUUGUGCUUCACUAUGGACAUAUAAUGAGGUGUUAGUUGUCCUUAUUUCUAAAUCUUAUUCACCGUUCAAACUGGUGCGUCGUCGCCGUCAAGGCUGCCGUCGUCUUCAUUUGGGUCGCCUGCUUCACUAUGGACAUAUAUAAGCUAUGUUGUUUUCUUUUCAAGUGAAGAUGCUAGAAUACUAAGAAUACACACUCUAUGAAGUUGGGACAUGGAUUCUCUUCAAAGAUUAUUGUAGUUUUUUUGUUGGGAGCUGAGUUGUAACUUUCUCCUCUGUCAACUUUAUGGAGCUUGGAAUAUAUAUGAAAUUUUUGUAGGAUAAAUCCCCAAUGUUUUUACUUUAUGAGGUUGGAUUCUGAGUUCUUUUGUAGCUAAAAUGAGAUUCUGAGGUGAGAUUGCCUUGUUUCUUAUAUGUUAAUCAAAUUUGCUUGUUAACUCUUUUUUUUGUAAUUCGCAUGCUCUUUUUUUCUUCCUGAGUGAGCUUCUUAACUAAGACUUUAUUUAUGAAAGAUUCUCUGUAAACAUAUUUGUAAUUUUUAAUCUUUCGUAGGUUAUUUCCUCAUUGUUGGCAUCAUUAAUCACAUUUCUAUUGCAUUAGAAAUUUUAUUGUUUAUGAUCUGCAAACUAAAGGUCUAUGUUUCUUGUUAUUUAUUUAUUCAUUCAUCUUGUGUUGACUGCCUCUUUGUUACAAAGAAACUACUUGAUUAUGCCUUUUUUUCUCUUUUCAAAAUGGUACUAUAUGGUAUGUCUCACAGUCUGUUUCACAAUCUACAUUUGUUGUUAUGAGUAUUCAUGUUUUCUAUCUACAUUUGUCGUUAUGACUUGAAUGUUGAGAAUGUUGAGCCUUCAGACUUAAUUAACUUGAAUGAAAUUUCAGUUAAGGUUAGCUAGUGAAGAUAUAGCUUGAGUACAUAAGAUUAACACCUUCCUUCAACGUUAUCUUCUUGUAAGUAGGCUUUUCAAUCUGGAUUCAUUGGCUUGCAGGUCUGCUUAGUAAAUAAUAAUGGUAUGUAAGAAUAAAACUAAUUAGAUUUUUUUGGAUCCUUAUAGUAGACUACGGUUAUUGGUUUGAUGAAUGUUUGAACUUAGUUUCAUAUGAGUUUAAAUAUUCGUGUAUGACACAAGAUUUGUGGAUGUUGAAGGACUGAAUUUGUAAGGUUUUAAAUAAAAAUUGAACCAAAAAUGAUGUGAAUUGGAAAAAGAAAAACAAGAGUGAAACAGAAAGUAAAAUGAUGUUUGUUAAAUAAUUGGAAAAAUAAGAAGCAUUAAUUUGGGCCCUUUUGCUAUUGAAAAUUUGAAAUCGUAUACUCAUGCAGACAGCCCAAGUUUCAUAAGCUCAUUUCCUUUCUAUUUAUUUGUAGCACUGCACUUCUACCUAAAAAGAAAAUGCCUUAAAACGAUCCCUUCAUUUAAUUACUUGAAAUUUGAAAAUUCUUCUUCUUUCUUUUUUUCUCUUUUGUUUACCAAAGAUUGGUCUAUUUCAAAAAAUUUAUAUUAUAUGUAUUUUCUCUCUCCAAUUGAAAAUUGGUAAAAACCAUUUUUUCUAUCCAUAAUAAAUAAAUUCGUAAGUAGGAAAAUAUAUAUCGAAAUUGGAUAUAGAGAAAUAUAUAUAUUUACAUAUUAAAAGAUUGAAUAAAUUGCAAUAUAUUUAUGUAUGUCAACUGCAUUAUUAAAACAUAUCAAUAUGGCUGGCAACAAAACUAAAAGUAUAUUUAAAAUUCUAAAACAAUUGAUUAAUAUUUUUAAAAAAUAAAAUCUGAUAUAAAAAUAAUAUUGUGAAAAGUCACAUCAAACUCAAUAUCAAAAUGUAAACCUUUUGGUAAGGGGAAAAAAUUGGGCAGAGAAGAAAUGGAAAAAAGAGUAAAAAGAAAAGCAAAAUGUUCUAACAUGCCCUUUUCUUCUCAACUUUUUUUUGGGCCACUUUGAUACUCUAUAUUUUUUUUUCUUUCUUUCUUUCUUUCACUUUUACUCAUUCAAUUUCCAAAGGAGAAGUAUAAAAGAAUCAGAUGUAAAGCUGUGACGAUAAUGAGAGGUCAGAUUUUGAAAGAAUAGCCAAGAAAAACAGCCAUCUCUUUCACCUGUCAAAUCUUUGAAAAUUUUCUCCCCUUCGAAUAGUUUUCUUAUUGGAAUUCAAUUAGGAAACCACAAAGUCAUGUAAUGGAGUAGCAAAAAGAAAAUCCUUGCUCAACUCCCAACCCGGCAUCAACCUACAAGAAUAGAUAUCCUAUUUCCUGCUUUUCAUUAUAGUGUGCCAAUUAUACUAAUCUCUUCCACAUGUUGUUUGUUUGAAGUGCAUAGCCUUAGAAGUUAGAAGAUUCUGGAAUCAAUCAUGGGAGAGGGUGGCUAAUUUUGAAGAAAGAAGAGAAGACAUUGGCAUUGCUCCUCCAACAUACACAUCCAAUUUGCAAAAAAACAAAAAUUGAUGAGUAUAUAUUUAGCUUCUCACUAGCCAGUUUUGGCCAACUGAGGUUCUAUUUCUCUGUAAUCGUAUAAUGGAAAGACAAAAAGAAUAAAAACCUUAUCACAACCAUGAUGUAAUGUAAGAGUCAAUGAAUUGACUCAAGACUAAUGCAAAACCACAGUGAAUGAAUGCUUAGCAGAUUCCAAAAGACAUUUCAUGGUUAAAAGAAACCACUGAUAACAUGACUGAAAAUUAAUUAACUGAUUGAUCUGGGGCAAAAUGGGG